GACGAACGCUGGCGGCGUGCUUAACACAUGCAAGUCGAACGGAAAGGCCCCUUUGGUGGUACUCGAGUGGCGGACGGGUGCGUAACACGUGAGUAACCUUCCCUUGACUUCGGGAUAACUUCAGGAAACUGGGGCUAAUACCGGAUAGGAAUCCUUGCUGCAUGGUGGGGGUUGGAAAGCUUCGGCGGGUUUGGAUGGACUUGCGGGUUAUCUGCUUGUUGGUGGGGUAGUGGGUUACCAAGGCGUUGUAGGGUAGCCGGCCUGCGGGGGCGACCGGCCACAUUGGGACCUACGUACGGCCGAAGUACCUACGGGAGGGAGAAGUGGGGAAUCUUGACCAAUGGGCGGCAGGCUGAUGCAGCAACGCCGCGGGCGGGAUGACGGUCUUCGGGUUGUAAACCGAUUUCGGCAGGGGCGAAGCUUGUGGUGACGGUACCUGCAGAAGAAGCACCGGCUAACUACGUG
rnacentral:rRNA from 1 species